rnacentral:rRNA from 1 species
AUCGAACCCGGAGAUAGCUGGUUCUCCUCGAAAUAGCUUUAGGGCUAGCCUCGAUUUAGUCUUAUGGAGGUAGAGCACUGAAUUUCCGCGGGGGCGUCAAAGCUUACCAAAGAAUAUCAAACUCCGAAUGCCAUGUAGAUGAUGAUCGGGAGUCAGACUGCACGAGAUAAGUUGGGCAGUCAAAAGGGAAAGAGCCCAGACCACCGGCUAAGGUCCCAAAGUGCGUGUUAAGUGGAAAAGGAUGUGGGAAUUCGAAGACAACUAGGAUGUUGGCUCAGAAGCAGCCAUACAUUCAAAGAGUGCGUAACAGCUCACUAGUCGAGAGUUCCUGCGCCGAAAAUGUCCGGGGCUGAAACACGACACCGAAGCCGUGGACUCGCAAUGCGAGUGGUAGAGGAGCAUUCUUAAAACCGACGAAGCUGUACCGGAAGGAGCAGUGGAGGGAUAAGAAGAGAGAAUGCCGGAAUGAGUAGCGAGAGAAAGGUGGGAAUCCUUUCGGCCGAAUAUCUAAGGUUUCCAGAGUAAAGCUGAUCUGCUCUGGGUAAGUCGGGGCCUAAGCACAGGUCGCAAGACGUAAGCGAUGGAUAACAGGUUUAGAUUCCUGUACCACGCAUUAUCAGAACUGUAGGGACGCAUGUGGAAAGCACGGGCCGGGAAUGGAAAGACCGGUACAAGCGGGGUAGGUGUACAAUAGGCAAAUCCGUUGUAUAAUCCGAAGACGUGAUGUGGAGCGAAAUAAAGUAGUGAAGCGUGUGAGCCAUGUGCCGAGAAAAGCUGCUAUUGUGUAAUGCGUGCCCGUACCGUAAACCGACACAGGUGGAUGAGGAGAGAAUCCUAAGGCCGACGGAAGAAGCAUUGUUAAGGAAUUCGGCAAAAUGACCCCGUAACUUCGGGAGAAGGGGUGCCUGCGAGAGCAGGCCGCAGAGAAUAGGCUCAAGCAACUGUUUAGCAAAAACACAGGUCUAUGCGAAACCGAAAGGUGAGGUAUAUGGGCUGACGCCUGCCCGGUGCUGGAAGGUUAAGGGGAGUGGUCAGGAAACGAAGCCACGAACUUAAGCCCCAGUAAACGGCGGCCGUAACUAUAACGGUCCUAAGGUAGCGAAAUUCCUUGUCGGGUAAGUUCCGACCCGCACGAAAGGCGUAAUGAUUUGAGCGCUGUCUCGACAAUGCAUCCGGUGAAAUUGAAGUACCAGUGAAGAUGCUGGUUACC